GCCAGCAUGGUGUAGUGGUUUGAAUGUUGGACUAUAAUUCUGGAGACUAGGGUUUGAAUCUCUAUUCAGCCA